GGCCGCAGUAUUUUGACUGUGCAAAGGUAGCAUAAUCAUUAGUUUUUUAAUUGGAAGCUUGUAUGAAUGGUUGGACGAGACAUAAACUGUCUUUARAUUAUAAUUAGAAUUUAAUUUUUAAGUUAAAAAGCUUAAAUAAUUUUAAAAGACGAGAAGACCCUAUAGAUCUUUAUAUAUAUGAAAAUUUAAUUUUUAAGGAUUAUUAAUUUUUAUAUUUUUAUUUUUAUUUAAUUGGGGUAAUUAAGAGAUUUGAUUAAUUCUUUUUAUUUUAAACGUUGAUAAAUGAUUUAAAUGAUCCAUUAUUAUUGAUUAUAAGAUUAAGUUACCUUAAGGAUAACAGCGUAAUUUUUUUUGAAAGUUCAUAUUGAUAAAAAAGUUUGCGACCUCGAUGUUGGAUUAAAGUUAAUUUUGGGUGUAGAAGUUCAAAGUUUUAGUCUGUUCGACUAUUAAAAUUUUACAUGAUCUGAGUUCAAACCGGUGUAAGCCAGGUUGGUUUCUAUCUUUAAUUAAUUAAUAUAUUUUAGUACG
rnacentral:rRNA from 1 species